UACGGAGGGUGCGAGCGUUGUCCGGAAUCAUUGGGCGUAAAGGGCGCGUAGGUGGCCACUUCAAGCGUGCGGUGAAAGUCGGGGGCUCAACCCCUGAUCGGCCGUGCGAACUGGGGGGCUGGAGCACUGUAGAGGCAGGCGGAAUUCCCGGUGUAGUGGUGAAAUGCGUAGAUAUCGGGAGGAACACCAGUGGCGAAGGCGACUUCCUGGCCUGUUCUUGACGCUGAGGCGCGAAAGCUAGGGUAGCAAACGGG
rnacentral:rRNA from 1 species